CACACUGCGGGAACUGACCUGGUUGGAUUAAGGAACUUUCAGAAGGACUUUAAGUAAUACUGGAUAACUCACAGAAGUCCGGAGAAAGCCACAGUCCAGCGCCAGAUUCAGGCUCCGGAAUGAGCCAGUCUGACUAGGGAAGAUGCGGAUAAAGCAGCGGAUGAGAACAUUUGGCGGUGACGGCUCCAUGGUGAGGGCUGGCCUCUGCUCCGGGAAUGGCAGAGUCGGCUAGGAGGGCCGGGGCCUCACUGCCCCGAAUGUCCGCCCCAGUGGCCCUCGGUAAUUGUUGCAUGUCCGCCAACAAGCACGUGAGAUGACUGUAGGUGGAAUGUACACGAAGCCGUGCUAUCGUUGCUGGGAAAGUACACACAAGGUUCUUUUCCUGUGACAUGGACACGGGUGCAGAAACAUUUCUCCACUCCGAAACAGACACAGCGCAAGCAUGAUGACCUUCACAACGGCCCGCGUCCUCAGCAGGGAGCAGGACGGAGGCGAGGAGAUUGGCUGUGGGUAAGCGCAAGAAAGGGGCACAAUGAUGCAGGACUUUCCAUACCGGCCGUCGCCCCUCUGAGAGAAAGACAACGCAGGCGAGAAGGAUGCAGAAGUCCAAGAUGUACUGCACUUUUGAAGAAGGAGAUCAAGGAAGGCUUAACGGAGGAAAGAAAGAUAAUAAUGAAGAACCAAGUAAGAGAAUGUCAGAUCGUGGUUCCUUGCAACAAAGGACAUAAACCAAGGCCAUGUCCUCUAACUCUGAUCGUCCUGUCUCCCUCUGAACUCACUUAGAUAAUCCCAGACAAUCACCUCAUCGCAGGAUCCUUAAUUUAAUCACAUCUGCAAAGCUCCUUUUGCCAGGAAACUGUGCCAAGGACCCCUGUAGACCUAAAAUGAAGAUAUGCUGGAUUUCUGCCUUUACAAUGUGGAGGAGUCUGCGCGGAGCAGAAACUCGGCAGGUGCCGAAGGAGAAACGAGUGGCUCACGUCGAAG
ensembl:lncRNA